rnacentral:misc_RNA from 1 species
CCGAGUUAUACAACUCCCAAACCCAUGUGAACCUACCUUACGUUGCUUCGGCGGCCUAAACCGCCGCCGAGGGAUAGUAACACUCUGUUUUUUUAUGGAUUCUGAGUGGCAUUUAUUACAAAUAAAUCA